CUUGAGAUAACUUGAAAUGAAUUAAUUAAAUUGAAAUGAGUUUUGUGUUUUGUAACUAAGCAUGAUAAAUAUGUCCACAGGCUGUGACCCUUUGACCUCCCAGGUCUCUGUAAGUCAGUGGACCUAUUUUUGAUGUUAAAAUGCGUCAGGCAACACAUUAAGGUCAUUUUAUUUUUACUUUAAGCACACAUGUUAUCCUUAUAAAUGCAAAGUAAUGUAAAGUUUUCAUUAGGAGUAUUGGUAACAUUAAAGUUGGAGCAUCAUAUGUUGCAACUGUAAUAAACAAAUUCAUGACAAUGAAGAGGAACUUCUGGUAUGACAAAGGUGUGAAAAGUAGAUCUGAGUGGGAUUUUCUUGGGUCCGGUUCAUCUUCCUCGUCUCCCAGCCUCUUCCUCCUUCCUCUCUGCCGCAGCGUUACGGCAGCGGCCCGUUUAAAAGCAGAGGUAUUUACGACUCAGCUCUCUGCUCCUCCUGGGCUCCACAGAACAUGUGGGACUGGCAGAGUGACACCAGCGGUUUAAAGAUAGACAGGUUUCUGGCUAUUUUGUAUCACAGCCCAUCUGUCUGUCUGUACACCUGCCCGUCUGGUCACGGUUGCACACGUACAAAAUGGAGAGCCUGUGAACAAACAACCUCUGAAUCCGUCUGUUCAGACCUGAAAGGGCUCUACUAUAAUGUAGGUUAUAAAAAUAAAAUAUUACACAAUCAAACAUAUAAGUAUUAAAGUUUAAACACGGUCUUCAAGUAAAUGUGUCCAUCCAUUUUCAUUGGAAACGAACAAAACUUUUUCAUGAAAGUAUUUGUCGCCAUCUGCUGGUCAACAGAGGCAAUCGCAUACUUUUUGCCACAGGUGAAAUCAAUGUUGUGCUGAUGAUUCAAACACCUGUUUAAACCAAAGUGAGCGCGGCGGCGACGUUAGACCAGACGGGUAGUUUCUGAGUUCAGAGGGCGUCAUUCAUGUCUGUUAGGUGUUUUGAGAUUCUGAGAGGGAGCGGGUUAAUGAGAGAGCGCUGUUCUCAGGGGAAUCACAUCCCAUCGGGUCGACAGCUGCCCAGGACUCCGCCUAUGAUGGAUGUGAAGAAGCGCCUGGACUUCAGCUGUGAUUUCAGUGUGUCGUGUGAGGGGCCAUGUCUUGUUUCUGGGGCCGGCGGCGGAGACGGAGACGACCAGAACCAGAACCAGAACCGGACGUUUGAUUUCAGCACUCCUCCCGCAAAAGGACACGCUGCAGAACCGGACGAGCCCAAUUUCAUGCUGAAAGGGAUGAAGGGCUACCAGCUGACGGCCGAUGACAGGGAGUUCCUCAAAAGGCUGCAGGAAGAGCGAGUCAUUAAAAAAUACCAGGAAGACCUUGAAGACGUGCAGAGGCUGCUGAAAAAGGAGACCAUGGCGCUGGAGAUGGCGCACGCGUCCAGGAGGAAAGCGGAAGUGGAACUCGGAAAGUUUCCGUCCUGCGAGGAGCUCACACAGUGGCUCAAGGCGGUUCUGGAGGUCGUGGCCCCGACGGCCGACCUCACGGACCUGGACACGAAGUCCCUGCUGGCCGUGGUGACGGCGGAAGACGCCAGGGCGGCCGUGGACGAGAAGAAGCUCCAGCUGGUUCGACUGGAGGCCGCGGCGGCUGACAGGAGGAAGAAAGAGGCCGAAAUGAGAGGGUGGCAGGAAAAACAAAUCGCCAAUGAACAGCUGAGGAUCCAGGGACUGAUGAGCCAGUUAUCUGACCUGACCUCUGAACUUGCUCAACAAGAGGAAAUCUACAAGUCUCUUCAGAUGCAGAUCAAGAAACAGGAAGAAAGUGGAGCUGAUGCAGAGAAGGAAGAGGCCUCAGAUGAAGUACAAGCCAAAGGACAAGUGCAACGUGGACAAAAGGAGAAAAGAAAAGGUGAUAAAUCUGCUGAAAAAGUGCGAGACGCACCGAAGCAAAACAAGGAGAGGUCGACAAGGAACAAACGAACAGACGCUCAGAGCGCUGCGGACGACGGCACGAGUGAAAAUGUGACGACGGCAGAGACGAAGCCAAAGUCUGAAGCUGCAGCACCUAAAGCGACCAAGUCGGUCAAAGCGUCCAGAGGUUCACAGCAGAACGGGGAGGGGCCGGAGUCCGGUUCACGCGCCAGCCGAGCUGCGAGAGGGGGAGCGAGGCCGCCCGGAGCCACGGCGGCCGCCGCCUCACAGCCGCGAGGCCGGCGCACGGCGAGGAGCGAGGACGCGGCCCCGACCGCGGAGAAAGAGCGAAGAGGAGCGCGAGCGGCCGCCGAGGAGGAGGAGGAGGAAGGAACUGGUCUGAGACGAUCCAGGAGGAUAGCCAGCAGGAGGGGGGGGGCAGCCUUGCUCAAGGGCACUAAAGCUUAAGGCUGUAACAUUUAACAGAUUCAUAGUGUGGCUUUAGACUUGACGAUAUUUAAAUUAUUGUGCACCAUUUAAGAAUCAGGGGGCCAUUUUGUUUUAAAUGUAACGAAAUAAAGUUUGUUUUCACUUUUAUGCCUUGAAGCCA
rnacentral:lncRNA from 1 species